GUACAUAGUCCAAGAGAUUUAACUUCAAGAGAAAAUUAUGUUCAAGUCAGGAGAAAAUAGCUGAUUGAGAAACAUUGACAAUAAAUUCCCAAUACUACUAAGGAAAAUGUCACUACAAAGUGAAGCAAACCUGGCUGAGAGUCUCAAGAUGGCAGACAGGACAGUGAUGGGGUCCUCAACAGCUCCAGCAGCAGUGGGGAUAAAGAGGACAUACAACGUGAAGGCUGAUUGGAGGAGGUUUCCAACUCACUCAAGUCAAACAUCAGGAGAGAAAGCAGCCCCUGAGCUCCCUUCCUCCCCAGCCAGCCCACCCUUGCAUCAGAGCCAGAAGUCCCAUAGUGCUGCCGGAAUAUCUUUGCCAGCCCUUACCCUUAUCCCACGGUCAUGUAGUGGUGGCUUUAUUUGUCUUUCCCCCUAGACCGUGAGGUCCUUGGUACCUCCACAGUCUGACACAUUGCAGUCAUCCUGUUACUGAGUAAAGGAAUGAGGUACUUAAA